rnacentral:rRNA from 1 species
GAUGAACGCUGACGGCGUGCCUAAUACAUGCAAGUCGAGCGAACGGACGAGAAGCUUGCUUCUCUGAUGUUAGCGGCGGACGGGUGAGUAACACGUGGAUAACCUACCUAUAAGACUGGGAUAACUUCGGGAAACCGGAGCUAAUACCGGAUAAUAUUUUGAACCGCAUGGUUCAAAAGUGAAAGACGGUCUUGCUGUCACUUAUAGAUGGAGCCGCGCUGCAUUAGCUAGUUGGUAAGGUAACGGCUUACCAAGGCAACGAUGCAUAGCCGACCUGAGAGGGUGAUCGGCCACACUGGAACUGAGACACGGUCCAGACUCCUACGGGAGGCAGCAGUAGGGAAUCUUCCGCAAUGGGCGAAAGCCUGACGGAGCAACGCCGCGUGAGUGAUGAAGGUCUUCGGAUCGUAAAACUCUGUUAUUAGGGAAGAACAUAUGUGUAAGUAACUGUGCACAUCUUGACGGUACCUAAUCAGAAAGCCACGGCUAACUACGUG